GAUGAACGCUGGCGGCGUGCCUAAUACAUGCAAGUCGAGCGAACAGACCAGGAGCUUGCUCCUCUGACGUUAGCCGCAGAGGGGUGAGUAACGCGUGGAUCACCUACCUAUCUGACUGGGAUAACUUCGGGACACCGGAGCUAAUACCGUAUAAUAUCUUGCACCGCGUUGUUCAAUAGUGAGAUACGGUUUUGCUGUCACUUAUAGAUGGAUCCGCGCCGCAUUAGAUAGUUGGUAAGGUAACGGCUUACCAAGGCGACGAUGCGUAGCCGACCUGAGAGGGGGAUAGGCCACAUUAGAACUGGAACACGGUCCAGACGCCUACGGGAGGCAGCAGUAGGGAAUCGUCCGCAAUGGGGGAAAGCAUGACGGAGCAACGCCGCGUGAGUGAUGAAGGUGUUCGGAUCGGAAAAAUCUGUUAUUAGGGAAGAACAAAUGUGUAAGUAACUAUGCACGUAUUGACGGUACCUAAUCAGAAAGCCACGGCUAACUACGUG
rnacentral:rRNA from 1 species